rnacentral:rRNA from 1 species
UGACCGCUGGCGGCGUGCCUAAUACAUGCAAGUCGAGCGAACAGACGAGGAGCUUGCUCCUUUGACGUUAGCGGCGGACGGGUGAGUAACACGUGGGUAACCUACCUAUAAGACUGGGAUAACUUCGGGAAACCGGAGCUAAUACCGGAUAAUAUUUCGAACCGCAUGGUUCGAUAGUGAAAGAUGGCUUUGCUAUCACUUAUAGAUGGACCUGCGCCGUAUUAGCUAGUUGGUAAGGUAACGGCUUACCAAGGCAACGAUACGUAGCCGACCUGAGAGGGUGAUCGGCCACACUGGAACUGAGACACGGUCCAGACUCCUACGGGAGGCAGCAGUAGGGAAUCUUCCGCAAUGGGCGAAAGCCUGACGGAGCAACGCCGCGUGAGUGAUGAAGGUCUUCGGAUCGUAAAACUCUGUUAUUAGGGAAGAACAAACGUGUAAGUAACUGUGCACGUCUUGACGGUACCUAAUCAGAAAGCCACGGCUAACUACGUG